GAACAGGCUCAGGCUGAUGGCGCUGAGCUGUGCUGGAACAUGUCUUGACUUGUACCGGCUUGCCUGGAGAGAGUGUGCAAGGCUUGUGGUCACCCGCCUGGACAGCUGGGUGCUUCUCACUGACCUCUCUCAGGCAGCAGGCACAACACUGAGGGAUAGAAAGUGAGGUGGACAAGAGUGAACUGGACCAGGGAUCGGACUAUGACCCAGAGAGCCAGGCUCAUCUCUGCUGGACUGGUGGAAGUUCUUCCUGUAUUUCAAGUCUCCCCCUCCCCCUCCUAAAUAUCUUGCAAGUAAUGCUUUGAUCAUAGAGGGACCAUGAAGCCACUGACCACAAUCAGGCCAGUGUUAUCACAUACAACAUGUGCCACCCAGUAAAAUGGAGGAAAGUCAACAUGUCUGUCCUCAAUGUCUACAUAACAUGAGAUAUGACGGACACUUAUCAGGGAACAAAGCUGAACAAUCCUUCAAUAAGCAUGUGGGUAAAAAGCAUGGAGAGUUUGGGAUUACUCUCAGUUGUUUCCCCAUUUGCGCUAUUCUGUCUUCUGCCCACCACAAGCACGCGGGCCAAACUCAGUGGGGAGGCGUUUGCCAAGCAGAGGACAGACCUGAGGACGAGGAUGAGGACAGACAGGAAGGAUGGCGCCCACCGGCUGCUGUGAGUGUUUCUCUGGCAGUGUCUUAGCUGGUUGUUGUGAGGAGUGAGAACGAAGCAAUCAGCAAGUAUACUGCCGCAGAAACUCUUUACAUUAAGAGCCCCCAUCCCCCCUGAAUGCCACUCCGGCUACUCCACUGCUGCCUGGGCAGAGUGUCUCUCGACUCCCCCAUACACCCCCAUCACGCAGCCCCAGCCAGGGAAGAGUGCGGUAGAGUGUGGUAUGUAUCUAUCUCCUGCUUCUGGCAGUAACUCCAUUUGACACAAACAAAAGUGAAGUCGUUAAGGAAUUAUUACAGUAGACUCAGGAUGAUUGCAGUAAUGAUACAAUAAAGCACCACCAUCUGUUUUCUUAUAAAUGUGGUGUGGUUGGUUGUUGAAAUGUGUCGAUCAGUAAACAUGUUGUGUUAGUUAAGAUCAUCUCUCAGUUUCCCAUUUGACUGUCUGCUUUUGUUGGUUUGUUAAACGACAGUUACCAUUGGCAGCACAGUCUGACCUUUAAGGCCCUCAGUAGAAGACACACAUAGCGGUGUAGCUAGACACAAACAUCAUGAGUGCGAUUAUGUCCUAUGGCUCUUUAUGAUCACAUGCUGAUUGGUGACACAUUUUUGUAUUUCAAAUUAAAAAAAA